ACAGCAGUAGCCACGGGAACACAGAGGGUGCGAGCGUUAAUCGGAUUUACUGGGCGUAAAGCGUGCGUAGGCGGCUUCUUAAGUCGGAUGUGAAAUCCCUGAGCUUAACUUAGGAAUUGCAUUCGAUACUGGGAAGCUAGAGUAUGGGAGAGGAUGGUAGAAUUCCAGGUGUAGCGGUGAAAUGCGUAGAGAUCUGGAGGAAUACCGAUGGCGAAGGCAGCCAUCUGGCCUAAUACUGACGCUGAGGUACGAAAGCAUGGGGAGCAAACAGGAUUAGAUACCCGUGUAGUCCCUGUCUCUUAUAC
rnacentral:rRNA from 1 species